rnacentral:rRNA from 1 species
GCUCAACCGAGGAAGUGCUUCGAAAACUGGUAAACUUGAGUGCAGAAGAGGAAAGUGGAACUCCAUGUGUAGCGGUGGAAUGCGUAGAUAUAUGGAAGAACACCAGUGGCGAAGGCGGCUUUCUGGUCUGUAACUGACGCUGAGAUUCGAAAGCAUGGGUAGCAAACAGGAUUAGAUACCCUGGUAGUCCAUGCCGUAAACGAUGAGUGCUAAGUGUUGGAGGGUUUCCGCCCUUCAGUGCUGCAGCUAACGCAUUAAGCACUCCGCCUGGGGAGUACGAUCGCAAGAUUGAAACUCAAAGGAAUUGACGGGGGCCCGCACAAGCGGUGGAGCAUGUGGUUUAAUUCGAAGCAACGCGAAGAACCUUACCAGGUCUUGACAUACCAUGAAAAGCUAAGAGAUUAGUCUUUCCCUUCGGGGACAUGGAUACAGGUGGUGCAUGGUUGUCGUCAGCUCGUGUCGUGAGAUGCUGGGUUAAGUCCCGCAACGAGCGCAACCCUUAUUAUCAGUUGCCAGCAUUCAGUUGGGCACUCUGGUGAGACUGCCGGUGACAAACCGGAGGAAGGUGGGGACGACGUCAAAUCAUCAUGCCCCUUAUGACCUGGGCUACACACGUGCUACAAUGGUCGGUACAACG